UACGAAGGGGGCUAGCGUUGUUCGGAUUUACUGGGCGUAAAGCGCGUGUAGGCGGGUCGUUAAGUUGGGGGUGAAAUCCCGAGGCUCAACCUCGGAACUGCCUUCAAAACUGGCGACCUGGAGCAAAGAAGAGGCGAGUGGAAUUGCGAGUGUAGAGGUGAAAUUCGUAGAUAUUCGCAGGAACACCAGUGGCGAAGGCGACUCGCUGGUCUUUUGCUGACGCUGAGACGCGAAAGCGUGGGGGAGCAAACAGG
rnacentral:rRNA from 1 species